rnacentral:rRNA from 1 species
GAUGAACGCUAGCUAUAGGCUUAACACAUGCAAGUCGAGGGGCAGCGCAGUGUAGCAAUACACGGGCGGCGACCGGCGCACGGGUGCGUAACGCGUAUCCAACCUUCCCGUUACUCAGGGAUAGCCUUCCGAAAGGGAGAUUAAUACCUGAUGGUGUUGAAAUUCCGCAUGUUAUUUCAACUAAAGAUUUAUCGGUAACGGAUGGGGAUGCGUGACAUUAGGUAGAUGGCGGGGUAACGGCCCACCAUGCCCACGAUGUCUAGGGGUUCUGAGAGGAAGGUCCCCCACACUGGAACUGAGACACGGUCCAGACUCCUACGGGAGGCAGCAGUGAGGAAUAUUGGUCAAUGGCCGGAAGGCUGAACCAGCCAAGUAGCGUGAAGGAUGAAGGUUCUAUGGAUUGUAAACUUCUUUUAUACGGGAAUAAAACCACCUACGUGUAGGUGCUUGUAUGUACCGUAUGAAUAAGCAUCGGCUAACUCCGUG